GCGAAAGCCUGAUGCAGCAACGCCGCGUGAGCGAUGAAGGUCUUCGGAUCGUAAAGCUCUGUCCUCAAGGAAGAAUAUUGACGGUACUUGAGGAGGAAGCCCCGGCUAACUACGUGCCAGCAGCCGCGGUAAUACGUAGGGGGCUAGCGUUAUCCGGAAUUACUGGGCGUAAAGGGUGCGUAGGCGGUCUUGCAAGUCAGAGGUGAAAGGCUACGGCUCAACCGUAGUAAGCCUUUGAAACUGUAGGACUUGAGUGCAGGAGAGGAAAGUGGAAUUCCCAGUGUAGCGGUGAAAUGCGUAGAUAUUGGGAGGAACACCAGUUGCGAAGGCGGCUUUCUGGACUGUAACUGACGCUGAGGCACGAAAGCGUGGGGAGCGAACAGGAUUAGAUACCCUGGUAGUCCACGCCGUAAACGAUGAGUACUAGGUGUCGGGGGUUACCCCCCUCGGUGCCGCAGCUAACGCAUUAAGUACUCCGCCUGGGAAGUA
rnacentral:rRNA from 1 species